rnacentral:rRNA from 1 species
UUCCUUCAGAGUUUGAUUAUGGCUCAGAACAAACGCUGGCGGCGUGUCUUAAGCAUGCAAGUCGAGCGGCAGGCGCAGCAAUGCGCUGAGAGCGGCGGACUGGUGAGUAACGCGUGGGUAAUCUACCUUUGGCAUGGGGAUAGCCACUAGAAAUAGUGGGUAAUACCGAAUACGUUCCCUGGGGGGAGGUUUCAGGGAAGAAAGGGUGCUACGGCACCGGCCGGAGAUGAGCUCGCGUCCCAUUAGCUUGUUGGUGAGGUAACGGCCCACCAAGGCGAUGAUGGGUAGCCGGCCUGAGAGGGUGUACGGCCACACUGGGACUGAGAUACGGCCCAGACUCCUACGGGAGGCAGCAGCUAAGAAUAUUCCGCAAUGGACGAAAGUCUGACGGAGCGACGCCGCGUGGAUGAUGAAGGCCGAAAGGUUGUAAAGUCCUUUUGCUGGGGAAGAAUAAGUGUGGGAGGGAAUGCCCGCAUGAUGACAUGAACCGGCGAAUAAGCCCCGGCCAACUACGGGCCAGCAGCCGCGGUAACACGUAGGGGGCGAGCGUUGUUCGGAAUUACUGGGCGUAAAGGGCAUGUAGGCGGUCUGGUAAGCCUGGCGUGAAAGGCCACAGCUCAACUGUGGGACUGCGUUGGGAACUGCUGGGCUUGAGUUAUGGAGAGGGAGCUAGAAUUCCUGGUGUAGGGGUGAAAUC